rnacentral:tRNA from 1 species
UGAUAGCAAGGACUCCUUAUCUUUACCCUUAACGAGGCUACAACUCGCCGCCUAGUUCUCGRCCACACUACC